rnacentral:rRNA from 1 species
AGAGUUUGAUCAUGGCUCAGGAUGAACGCUGGCGGCGUGCCUAACACAUGCAAGUCGAGCGAAGCACUUUACUUUGAGAUCUUCGGAAGGAUAAGUUUUGUGACUGAGCGGCGGACGGGUGAGUAACGCGUGGGCAACCUGCCUCACACAGGGGGAUAACAGUUAGAAAUGACUGCUAAUACCGCAUAAGGCCACAGCACCGCAUGGUGCAGGGGUAAAAACUCCGG